AGUGGAUUUCUUCUUAGUCAGGACCCUGAGUUUGGGUGGAGGAAUGUCUUCUUCUUGCUGUUUGCCGUUAACCUGUUAGGACUACUCUUCUACCUCAUAUUUGGAGAAGCAGAUGUCCAAGAAUGGGCUAAAGAGAGAAAACUCACUCGUUUAUGAAGGCAGUACCAACCUUGGACAGGGAUGGGGUAAUGAUUCACAUUUAUGGGGGGAAAAAUUAUCUUUGUGUGACUCCAGUCACAGUUUGCUUCUAUCAAAUCUUCAGUCUCCAAUGAAGUUUAAAUAUUCCUGGGAAUCCUAAUGAAGGACUGUUUUUAUGAGUUUUGUGUUAUCAUUGUAAUGUCAAGAUUGUGUGUCAAGUCAAUAUGAAGUUUAAAACCAUUUCCAAUAUGUUCACUUGAUUUACUCUUUUCCAUUAUUUGGAUAUCCCAUUACACAGGCACAGUGGAUGAUUUAAGUAUUCCAGGAAGCUGUUUCUAUACCAAAGUACCUAGCAAUAAUGUAACAAUUCCCCUUAUCAACCCAAACCACAUAAAUGUAUCCCAAAUUUUGGUCCAAUGAAAUGCAUUCCCACUGCAGCCUUCCCUUCACCAUAUCAAAAAAUGCCAAGAGCAACUCCAUAGUACUAUGGUACCCAAUAGGAUGGAGAUAGUAACUUUAAACA
rnacentral:lncRNA from 10 species